UAAUACGGAGGGUGCAAGCGUUAUCCGGAUUUAUUGGGUUUAAAGGGUCCGUAGGCGGACUGAUAAGUCAGUGGUGAAAUCCGACAGCUUAACUGUCGAACUGCCAUUGAUACUGUUAGUCUUGAGUAAGGUUGAAGUGGCUGGAAUAAGUAGUGUAGCGGUGAAAUGCAUAGAUAUUACUUAGAACACCAAUUGCGAAGGCAGGUCACUAAGUCUUAACUGACGCUGAUGGACGAAAGCGUGGGGAGCGAACAGG
rnacentral:rRNA from 1 species